CCGAUCAUGUGGUGUCAACGGUAUCCACGACUGCUUAACGUCGCCCGGCCUGGCCGGUGCAUUAAGCAGUAGAUCUGAGUUCGAUUCUCAGCAUCCGGU